rnacentral:rRNA from 1 species
UCGGGAAUUUUGCCCAAUGAGCGAAAGCUUGAGGCAGCAACUCCGCGUGAGGGAUGAAGGCUCUCGGGUCGUAAACCUCUUUUCUCAGGGAAGAUCCAAGACGGUACCUGAGGAAUAAGCCACGGCUAACUACGUGCCAGCAGCCGCGGUAAUACGUAGGUGGCAAGCGUUGUCCGGAUUUACUGGGCGUAAAGAGCGCGCAGGCGGCUGGUCAAGUCCGAUGUGAAAUCUCCCGGCUCAACUGGGAAACUGCAUCGGAAACUGACCGGCUUGAAGGUGGGAGAGGGUAGUGGAAUUCCCGGUGUAGUGGUGAAAUGCGUAGAUAUCGGGAGGAACACCAGUGGCGAAGGCGACUACCUGGCCCAUUCUUGACGCUGAGGCGCGAAAGCUCGGGGAGCGAACGGG